rnacentral:rRNA from 1 species
ACACCGGCAGCUCAAGUGGUAGCCGCUUUUAUUGGGCCUAAAGCGUCCGUAGCCGGUCUGAUAAGUCUCUGGCGAAAUCCCACAGCUUAACUGUGGGAAUUGCUGGAGAUACUAUCAUGACUCGAGGUCGGGAGAGGCUGGAGGUACUCCCAGGGUAGGGGUGAAAUCCUGUAAUCCUGGGAGGACCACCUGUGGCGAAGGCGGCCAGCUGGAACGACCCUGACGGUGAGGGACGAAAGCCAGGGGCGCGAACCGGAUUAGAUACCCGGGUAGUCCUGGCCGUAAACGAUGUGGACUUGGUGUUGGGAUGGCUGCGAGCUGCCCCAGUGCCGAAGGGAAGCUGUUAAGUCCACCGCCUGGGAAGUACGGCCGCAAGGCUGAAACUUAAAGGAAUUGGCGGGG